CCAGUUUCCUGUCACAGAGGCCAGGCUUUUCCAGAGGGCACACAAGGAAUACCUUCCUUUUUUUUCCUUCACAGAAGGAAAGGAAAGGACCAUGACAGAAGUCUUCAGCUGAACUCCAUAUUGCCCCAAAUUAUCAUCUCCAAUUAGGGUUUACUCUAAUUGCAGCACUUUACCUGGCUGGAUGUCAGCACUGUAGCAAGAGAUGGAUGUUUCAGCACCUCGUACGUCUCAGAUCACCUUGCUCUCUGUCACUCUGCCUUUUGAAUGAGGAACAUGCUAAUUGAUGACAUUGUAGUCACAAAGUCUGGUGAUCAGAUGCUCCUGGUGGUACCAACCUUUUUAUCUGCCUUGGAUGUGGCGGGACGUGGCGACUCAGCCAAGGGAUCAGGACUCUAAUUUUUAAAAUGGGCUUUGUGCCGGGAGGUGCCGGCACAGCUGCAGGAGAUGGGGCUCUAAUUGUCAAAGCGGCGAAGCUGGGGCGAGACUGUGAUUGGCUGGAGGAAGGCGGUGACAGCGCAGGAGCAGGAAGCUGAUUGGAUGAGAGGACGCGUGGACAGCAGCGCGGCAGCCGAGGCAGCCAAUGAGAGCCUUCCUUCUGUGGCGCUCCGUUGAGUCUCCGUUUGGUUUCCCUCGUGUCAGGCGGAGAUGAGCGGCAGGGAAGGCGGCCAGGUCUGACAGUAAAGCCAUCUCCUCCGCGUGCAUGAACGGGGCCCGGGGGGCUUUGCUCCCACUGCUACCCACUGCAACAGGAGAAGGCUGUUAUUGAUGAGGAAAGGAGAAUAGUGGUUACAUCCUUGAUCAUUUUGGAUCCUGGAACCAGGUACCACCCGGCCAACAAGCCAAGAGCUGCUCGUGUCCCCAGUGGCCUAGGCCUGCUCUCCAAUGGUCCACAGUGGUCAAGUUAUGUAAUCAAGGUACUAGCAUAAUUAGUUACCUCUCAGUUAUAAAACCAGGAUUUAUUAUAACUGUGGGGCCUUCAGGCCAGCUGUUGGCCACUACAACAUCCAGAUAUCAAAGUUCCUCCCUCCAUUCCCUCUCCCUUCUGAGUCCCCAUGUUCUCUUCACUUUCCUUGCUCGUUGUCAUGAAGUGUGAGUCAUCUCUUGGUAUCUCACAGGUCUCUUGCAGCAAAUGGGACAUCAAAACCUAGUGUUAAAAUCCUCAAAGCUUUAAAAGCCACCAAAAU
rnacentral:lncRNA from 1 species